UAGAAGUUGUCAUUGGUCUCAUGACUGGC
rnacentral:piRNA from 1 species